GUUCAGUCCUUUGCCGGUUAUUGAUAAAUGUUUGAUCUUGGUUGUGUUGAGUUCCCUGAGUUUCUCCAGUGUUUCUUCUGUGGAUUUAUUAAAGGACUGUUAUUUGGAAUUCUCUGUCAUCUCGUGCUCCUUACAGCGCCAACACGUGAUGGUACUUGCCCUCAAAUACAAACAGUAAUAAAGGCUUCCCUCGGACCAGGAGAGUUGCAGACCUGCAGACCGACUGACUGACCUGUGCAGGUAUUUUUCCAGGGAAUUGUGGUGGUGGCGGCGGAGUCAAAAGAGACUUGUUUCUCCAGACAUGAAAGGCUCCUAAGAUCAAGCACCAUGAAAAUGGAAAGCACUCUGUCUUGUAGAUUCAGGUCUGACAGGAAGCAGGUGUCUCAAUUUGAACAGCAUCAAGGACUGUGCUUAAGGAGACAUGAUGAAUAAAUCCAUAUGUGCUUGGAAUGAAAUGGACAGUUAGACACAAGAUUCAUUUUGAGGCAGACCACUUAUCCUUAUAGUGUUAGUUAUUGUUUUUCAAUUAUUAUUGUUAGUGAGUAGUCAUUUAACAGAUGCUUUUCUCUGAAGUGACUUGUAGUACACUUGCAUUUAUGUGUACACAAACCCAUGACCUCACCAUGUUUCUAGUACCUUCAGAGGUUUAUCUGGUUCAAACAGCAUUCAGAUGGUCCAGAAUGCCACAACGUGUUUGGUGGUUUGAUUCUAAUUCAUAUGUGUUUGCUCCAGUCUCCUGUCAGCUUGUCCCUGAACUGACAUUCACUGCAGUGACCGUCCUUUGUUGGUUUUAUUACAUUAGUGGCAAAUAAAAAACAACAAACAAA
ensembl:lncRNA